rnacentral:lncRNA from 1 species
CACAGAACUGAAGUGCUGGUAAACUACAUUGACAAGCUUGGCCCCUCAGCACAACCAGAACCCAUUCAAAAGUGUCAAGCAAAGGAGCAACACAGCCUGAUUUGCAAUACCUGCUGCUGUUAGCUUUAGUGGUUUUGAAGCAGUGAUUUUGGAAAAAUCAAUCCAAUGAUUUUCAUUCUGAAGUAUUUUGGCUGCUAACUGGGACUUUCAUUGUGUGGUCUAAGACAGGGUCUAUCACCCUGGUUGGAGUGCAGCAGUGUAAUUAUAGCUUACUGCUGCCAUGAACUUCUGGGCUCAAACGAUCCUCCCACCUCAGCCUCCCUAUGUGCUGGGAUUAAAAGUGUGAUCCACCACGCCUCAUCACAAUGGUCUUAAAAGACACCCUAUUUCAUGUAAGUGCUCAAUAAACUGUUACUUACUGUGACAAGAUACAA